AUGUGGUUUAAUUUGAUGCAAAGCGAAGAACCUUACUAGGACUUGACAUGCCGCGAAUCCUCUUGAAAGAGAGGGAUGCCUUCGAGAACGCGGACAACGAACAAAAAUACGGGUGACGAAUUGAAGUGAGAAUAUUACCAAGAUUAAGAGAGUAAUCUUAUAUUGAAAUUCACAU
rnacentral:rRNA from 1 species